rnacentral:tRNA from 1 species
AUCUUUUUAGUAUAAUAAAUAUAAUUGACUUCCAAUCAAAAGAUCUUUUAAUAAAGAAAAGAUA